rnacentral:tRNA from 1 species
GGCGGCGUAGCUCAGGGGUAGAGCGGGGCUCUCAUAAGGCCUGUGUCGGUGGUUCAAAUCCACCCGUCGCCACCA